GAUGAACGCUAGCGACAGGCCUAACACAUGCAAGUCGAGGGGCAGCACAUGAGUAGCAAUACUUUGGUGGCGACCGGCGCACGGGUGAGUAACACGUAUGCAACCUGCCUGUAAGAGGGGAAUAACCCGGAGAAAUUCGGACUAAUACCGCAUAAUACCACGAAUUCGCAUGGAUUUGUGUUUAAACAUUUAUGGCUUACAGAUGGGCAUGCGUAUGAUUAGCUAGUAGGUGAGGUAACGGCUCACCUAGGCAACGAUCAUCAGGGGUUCUGAGAGGAAGGUCCCCCACUCUGGUACUGAGACACGGACCAGACUCCUACGGGAGGCAGCAGUGAGGAAUAUUGGUCAAUGGGCGAGAGCCUGAACCAGCCAAGUCGCGUGAAGGAAGAAGGUUCUAUGGAUUGUAAACUUCUUUUGUAAGGGAAUAAAAAGAGUUACGUGUAACUUAUUGUAUGUACUUUACGAAUAAGGAUCGGCUAACUCCGUGCCAGCAGCCGCCGUAACAC
rnacentral:rRNA from 1 species